GGUCGUGUGGCGCAAUUGGUUAGCGCGUCUGACUGUUAAUCAGGAGGUUCGAAGUUCGAGUCUUCGCAUGACCG